rnacentral:rRNA from 1 species
UACGAAGGGGGCUAGCGUUGUUCGGAAUUACUGGGCGUAAAGCGUAUGCAGGCGGAUCAUUAAGUCGGGGGUGAAAUCCCGGGGCUCAACCUCGGAAUUGCCUUCGAUACUGUCUAUCUAGAGUCCGGGAGAGGUGAGUGGAAUUCCUAGUGUAGAGGUGAAAUUCGUAGAUAUUAGGAAGAACACCAGUGGCGAAGGCGGCUCACUGGCCCGGUACUGACGCUCAUGAGCGAAAGCGUGGGGAGCAAACAGG